rnacentral:lncRNA from 1 species
CAGCAGAACUGGUUCUUGUGUCGGUGCGGGUCUGUGCGGGUCUGUGCAGGUCGGUGCGGGUCUGUGCGGGUCGGUGUGGGUCUGUGCGUGUCAGUGCGGGUCGGUGCGGGUCUGUGUGGGUCGGUGCGGGUCAGUGUGGGUCAGGAGGGCGUCGGUGUGGGUCUGUGCGGGUCAGUGUGGGUCAGUGUGGGUCUGUGCGUGUCAGUGCGGGUCGGUGCGGGUCUGUGUGGGUUGGUGCGGGUCGGUGCGGGUCUGUGCGGGUCAGUGUGGGUCAGGAGGGCGUCGGUGUGGGUCAGUGCGGGUCGGUGCGGGUCAGUGUGGGUCAGUGUGGGUCUGUGCGUGUCAGUGCGGGUCGGUGCGGGUCAGUGUGGGUCAGUGUGGGUCAGGAGGGCGUCGGUGUGGGUCAGUGCGGGUCGGUGCGGGGUCAGUGUGGGUCAGUGUGGGUCUGUGCGUGUCAGUGCGGGUCGGUGCGGGUCAGUGUGGGUCAGUGUGGGUCAGUGUGGGUCAGUGCGGGUCGGUGCGGGUCUGUGCGGGUCAGUGUGGGUCAGGAGGGCGUCGGUGUGGGUCAGUGCGGGUCGGUGCGGGUCAGUGUGGGUCAGUGUGGGUCGGUGCGGGUCAGUGUGGGUCAGUGUGGGUCAGUACGGGUCAGUGCGGGUCAGUGUGGGUCAGUGCGGGUCAGUGCGGGUCAGUGUGGGUCAGUGCGGGUCAGUGUGGGUCAGGAGGGCGUCGGUGUGGGUCAGUACGGGUCAGUGCGGGUCAGUGUGGGUCAGUGCGGGUCAGUGCGGGUCAGUGUGGGUCAGUGCGGGUCAGUGUGGGUCAGGAGGGCGUCGGUGUGGGUCAGUGCGGGUCGGUGCGGGUCAGUGUGGGUCAGUGUGGGUCGGUGCGGGUCAGUACGGGUCUGUGCGGGUCGGUGCGGGUCUGUGCGGGUCAAUACGGGUGAGGGUCAGGGGAACGCCGGAGCCUCCAGCAGACAGAUGCGGGUGGAGGCUGUUUGAGCGUGAGGCGUGGACCGUAGAUGCUUCUGACAGCAGCCUGCUGUUUCACCCCUCCCUGCGGUGCCGCUCAGCGUCCGGUCCGUCUCCAGCGCUCGGCGCUCGUGGUGCUGAGUGUAAGUCAUCGGUAAUGAUGUUCUGGCAGCAGCCUGCUGUUUUAGCAUCGCCCUGUGGCUUUGUCUCUCUGCUGUGUGUUUGUGCGUGUGUGUUUGCGUCCCCUUCGGGUCUGAAGCACGUCCUGGUUCCGUGUCCGGUUCAGUGA